GCAAAAACCUCCUAGCAAAGGAGGAGAGGAGGUUGUGCGGGACAAGCUUCUCCUGACGGAAGGAUGUCGCUGCUGAGCCUGUCCUGGCCGGGCUUCGGGCCGGUGGCAACAUCCCCGUGGCUGCUCCUGCUGCUGGUCGGGGCCUCUUGGCUCUUGGCCCACAUCCUGGCCUGGACCUACGCCUUCUAUGACAACUGCCGCCGCCUCCGGUGUUUCCCGCAGCCCCCGAAACAGAACUGGUUCUUGGGUCACCUGGGCCUGGUCACCCCCACAGAGGAGGGCUUGAGGGCCCUGACCCAGCUGGUGGCCACCUACCCCCAGGGCUUUGUGAGGUGGUUGGGCCCCAUCUUUCCCAUCAUCAAUUUGUGCCACCCCGACAUCGUCCGAUCUGUCAUCGAUACCUCAGGUACUCCUGCAGAGCUUGUGGUAGUGGGCACAGGAGAACAUUGGAGGGCUUCUAGAUCUCAUCCCCAAAGCUUCUGUGCAGCUCUUGUAGUACUCAGCCCCUUCCUUCCUGCUUCUCUCUCAGCCACCUUCCUCUUUCCUUCCUGUAGUCACCAACCCCAACCUCAGUGUCUCUUCUCUCUGCUGCCAUCUUCCCCACCUCCGUGUUGUUCUGGGAACCACUGGGGCCCCGAGAAGCCUUAACCCAAGGCCCUGUCCUGGAGGAAUCCCCAAACUUGAAGAGAUGGAUCGGUACAGAGACAUCCCCAACUUCUUGGGGUUAGGAAUGGGUCAGGAGGAGAUAGGCUGUGACAGAUCAGAGGAGAACAAGGUUUCUACUGGGGCAGGCUGGAAGGCUUCCUGGAGGAGGAGUAGCAGGAGCUGGGUCUGGAACGAUGAGUGAUAAUUUUUUUUUUUAAGCAGGGGCAGGGUGAUGCAGUGGGCAUUGUUAGUGUUCAAGGCUCCAGGCCAGGCCUGGCAUUGGCCUUGUCCUUCCGCAGGCCCAGAGCAAUGAGAAGGAGUUGUGGUUGGUGGAAGAUCUGGGCUGCUAUUUCCAUGACAUUCACCUCUUGUGGGUCGAUUCCUUCUAACCCCAUCCUGUGGC
rnacentral:sRNA from 1 species